rnacentral:rRNA from 1 species
GACGAACGCUGGCGGCGUGCCUAAUACAUGCAAGUAGGACGCAGUUGCGAACGGGCGAGUAACGCGUUGGUAACUACCUAUUAGAGGGGGAUAACUAUUGGAAACGAUAGCGAAUACCGUAUCCUAGUAGAAUGACCUGCGUUGUACUAGCUAAUAGGUAGGGUAAUGGACUACCUAGGCAACGAUGCAUCGCCGAACAUGGAGGGUGAUAGGCUACACAGGGGAUGUGAUCCGUCCCAGACUCCUACGGGGAGGAGCAGUAGGUGAAAAUUGGUGAUGGGGGAAACACUGACGGCGCAACGCCGCGUGAGUGAAGAAAGUAUUCGGAUCGGAAAGCGCUGUUGUUAAGGGAGCGGUACUUAACCAGAAAGGGACGGCUAACUACGUGCCAGCGGCCGCGGUAAUUC